UUUCUUGCCUUACAGAAGUUACUUUUUCAGAAAGCUUCGUGGAAAUCCUUUUAAGCAGCUGACAUGGAAAGAGACCAUAUAAACGCUGCUCUUCAACCACUAAUUACCACUGAAUUGAUGCAUUUUCUUCAAGCAAGCCCUGACUUCCUUCCACUUCACAGAACCAAAGAGAGAAAACAAAAGACACUCAAGGAGAUCACAGAAGAACCCAGUGUGGAGCAAGUAGAAUUACAUCAAGAUUCAUAAGGAAGAAAUGAAAAGCAGCCCACAAUAGUUUGGGGGAAAACUAUUUCCUCCUCUCCCCCUCUCUGUUCAUAUCCUACCUUCUGGAAAUCCAUAUUCUUUCAGUAUCUCUGCUUUCAUCAACUUUUAACAUCCUCCUCCCUGUCAAUGACUUCUGGUGGUUUUAUGAGCACACCACUGUUUGCUCUCCAAAAUACUUUCUGUAGAAUUUGCAGAUUUCCAUGGAGUGACUACUCCCAUUGUAGCCAUUAAUUCAAGCUGCCAACAUAGUAUCACUGAGGGUACAGGUGGGAUGAGCUGUGCCAGCAGAAGCUGGUACAAGCUAGCUCAACACUGCCAAAGUCUUUCAAAAUGAGUUCUUAGCCUUGUCACACCAUUGACCACUUUUGCCUCUGAAAAACUACACUU